rnacentral:lncRNA from 1 species
GUUUGCUAGUAUCAUUAGAAUGUGAAAUAGAUAUGCUUUCAGACUCAACAUUUCCACUUCUAAGAGUCAAUUCUAGAGAAAUAUGUGCACAUGGACACAAAGAGUCGGGCAUGAAGAUGUUUGCAGAAAUGUUGUUUGCAACUGCAAAAAACAGUAAAAUAAAAAGCCACCAAAUCAAAAAACCAAACACCUAGCAUUUAUCCCCAGCUUUACUGAGAUAUAAUUGACAAGCCUCGGAUUUAGACACUGUGGCAGAACUUGGGUACGGUAUGCUUUGCAGCCACUAAAAAGAAUGACAUAAACCUACAGUUGCUGACUUAGAAGGACCUCAAGAUGGAUCUUUUCAUGAAAAAAAGGGAUACAAUUAUAGGGCACCCACCUCAGAGAAGUCCUGCUCAGAACCUCCGAAGUCAGUUGAC